CACCAGCCCCUCGAGUGGUGGAGAUGAUUAUUUGGCCUAAAGCGUCCGUAGCCGGCCGGGUAAGUUUCCCGUUAAAUCCAGCGUCUCAAGCGUUGGACUGCGGGAAAUACUGCCUGGCUAGAGAGUGGGAGAGGUCAGCGGUAUUCUGGGGGUAGGGGCGAAAUCCUUUGAUCCCCGGAGGACCACCAGUGGCGAAGGCUGCUGACUAGAACACGUCUGACGGUCAGGGACGAAAGCUGGGGUAGCGAACCGGAUUAGAUACCCGGGUAGUCCCAGCCGUAAACGAUGCAUGCUAGGUGUUGGGUUGGCCACGAGCCACCCCAGUGCCGCAGGGAAGCCGUUAAGCAUGCCGCCUGGGAAGUACGAUCGCAAGAUUGAAACUUAAAGGAAUUGGGCGGGGGAGCGACCACCAGGCGUGAAGCCUGCGGUUU
rnacentral:rRNA from 1 species